rnacentral:rRNA from 1 species
UCGGGAAUUUUGGGCAAUGGGGGAAACCCUGACCCAGCAACGCCGCGUGAAGGAUGAAGUAUUUCGGUAUGUAAACUUCGAAAGAAUAGGAAGAAUAAAUGACGGUACUAUUUAUAAGGUCCGGCUAACUACGUGCCAGCAGCCGCGGUAAUACGUAGGGACCAAGCGUUGUUCGGAUUUACUGGGCGUAAAGGGCGCGUAGGCGGCAUGACAAGUCACUUGUGAAAUCUCUGAGCUUAACUCAGAACGGCCAAGUGAUACUGCAGUGCUAGAGUGCAGAAGGGGCAAUCGGAAUUCUUGGUGUAGCGGUGAAAUGCGUAGAUAUCAAGAGGAACACCUGAGGUGAAGACGGGUUGCUGGGCUGACACUGACGCUGAGGCGCGAAAGCCAGGGGAGCAAACGGGAUUAGAUACCCAUGUAGUCCCUGAGCGGGCUGGCAAGGCGCAU